rnacentral:rRNA from 1 species
CUGGCGGCGUGCUUAACACAUGCAAGUCGAACGGAAAGGCCCUGCUUUUGUGGGGUGCUCGAGUGGCGAACGGGUGAGUAACACGUGAGUAACCUGCCCUUGACUUUGGGAUAACUUCAGGAAACUGGGGCUAAUACCGGAUAGGAGCUCCUGCUGCAUGGUGGGGGUUGGAAAGUUUCGGCGGUUGGGGAUGGACUCGCGGCUUAUCAGCUUGUUGGUGGGGUAGUGGCUUACCAAGGCUUUGACGGGUAGCCGGCCUGAGAGGGUGACCGGCCACAUUGGGACUGAGAUACGGCCCAGACUCCUACGGGAGGCAGCAGUGGGGAAUAUUGCACAAUGGGCGGAAGCCUGAUGCAGCAACGCCGCGUGCGGGAUGACGGCCUUCGGGUUGUAAACCGCUUUCGCCUGUGACGAAGCGUGAGUGACGGUAAUGGGUAAAGAAGCACCGGCUAACUACGUGCCAGCAGCCGCGGUGAUACGUAGGGUGCGAGCGUUGUCCGGAUUUAUUGGGCGUAAAGGGCUCGUAGGUGGUUGAUCGCGUCGGAAGUGUAAUCUUGGGGCUUAACCCUGAGCGUGCUUUCGAUACGGGUUGACUUGAGGAAGGUAGGGGAGAAUGGAUUCCUGGUGGAGCGGUGGAAUGCGCAGAUAUCAGGAGGAACACCAGUGGCGAGGCGGUUCUCUGGGCCUUUCCUGACGCUGAGGAGCGAAGCGUGGGGAGCGAACAGGCUUAGAUACCCUGGUAGUCCACGCUGUAAACGGUGGGUACUAGGUGUGGGGUCCAUUCCAGGUUCCGUGCCGUAGCUAACGCUUAAGUACCCCGCCUGGGGAGUACGGCCGCAAGGCUAAAACUCAAAGGAAUUGACGGGGCCCCGCACAAGCGGCGGAGCAUGCGGAUUAAUUCGAUGCAACGCGUAGAACCUUACCUGGGUUUGACAUGGAUCGGGAGUGCUCAGAGAUGGGUGUGCCUCUUUUGGGGUCGGUUCACAGGUGGUGCAUGGCUGUCGUCAGCUCGUGUCGUGAGAUGUUGGGUUAAGUCCCGCAACGAGCGCAACCCUUGUUCACUGUUGCCAGCACGUUAUGGUGGGGACUCAGUGGAGACCGCCGGGGUCAACUCGGAGGAAGGUGGGGAUGACGUCAAGUCAUCAUGCCCCUUAUGUCCAGGGCUUCACGCAUGCUACAAUGGCUGGUACAGAGAGUGGCGAGCCUGUGAGGGUGAGCGAAUCUCGGAAAGCCGGUCUCAGUUCGGAUUGGGGUCUGCAACUCGACCUCAUGAAGUCGGAGUCGCUAGUAAUCGCAGAUCAGCAACGCUGCGGUGAAUACGUCCCCGGGGCUUGUACACACCGCCCGUCAAGUCAUGAAAGUUGGUAACACCCGAAGCCGGUGGCCUAACUCGUUGUGGGGGAGCCGUCGAAGGUGGGACUGGUGAUUAGGACUAAGUCGUAACAAGGU